rfam:Egretta garzetta contig62320, whole genome shotgun sequence.
CCACAGGCUCUCUCCAGAGCCACCAUCACCCUAAAAAAAGGGUUGU